CCGGCCUGCGCCCACUACUACUUCAAAACAUAAAAAAUUCCGGCUACAUAAAACCAACACCUGUACAGAAAGCUUCAGUUGCAGUUAUUCUUGCCAAAAGAGAUUUGAUUGCUUGUGCUGUCACGGGCUCCGGCAAAACGGCGGCGUACUUGGUACCGGUUAUGAACAUAUUGUUAGAACAAGGUGUUGCUGGUGCGUCCCCGCCAUGGUUCAAAAGCCAGAAGUUGAACUGUCGCCAGCCAUCAGCGGUCAAAUCUUCAAGCUGGGUGCAAUACUCUUGUCGCGACCACAGGGCGACUCGAGGAUUUUCUCGACCGUGGAGUAUUUUACUUCUCGACGGCCAGGUUUUUAAUUUUGGACGAAGCUGAUCAAAUGCUUUAUGGGUUUCGGUCUCGAUAUUGGAAAAAUUGUCAACCAUCCAACGAUGCCUCCGAAAGGAAUCCGUCGUGUUUGUAUGUUUACGGUUUUACCGGCGCACAAGUGGGGAAAUUGCCUUGUCUGGAAAUUUCUCAAAGUGUAACUGCUUUUGGCAGAACUAUGAUUGAGAAAACAAGAGAGGAUGUGGAGUCUAAAUUUUGCGUCGAGAAUGGCUAUGCCCAUGACGCCGAAGUAAUCUAUGGUAACACAGAUUCCGUAAUGGUGAAAUUCGGUGUACCCACGAUGGCCGAAGCCAUGGAAUUAGACCGAGAAGCUGCCGCAUUUGUGUCGGCAAAAUUUGUCAAACCCAUUAAUUUGGAAUUGGGAUAAGUCUUUUACCCCUAUUUAUUGAUUAACAAAAAGAGGUAUGCAGGAUUGUAUUGGACCAAACCUGAAAAGUUUGACAAAAUGAAAUGUAAGGGUAUAGAAACCGUUCUUAAUGAUAGUUGUCAACUCGUUGCCAAUCUUAUCAAUAGCUGUCUGCAGAAAAUUUUGAUGGAGCGAGACCCGGAUUGAGCCUUAGAAUACGCCAAACAAACACUUUCAGACUUGCUUUGCAACAAAGUCGAUAUCUCACCUCUGGUGAUUACCAAGCAGCUGACUAAAACAUAUAAAGACUACGCCAGCAAACAGGCACGUGUGGAACUAUGCGUAAGCCAGAUGCUUGUACAACCCCAAAAUUAGGGGAUCGAGUUCCCUACAUCAUUAUCGUAGCUACUAUAAACACACCAGCCUACCUCAAGGCGGAAGACCCGAUUUUUGUCCUGGAACACAGCGUACUUAUUGAUGCCCAAUACUAUUUGGAAAAUCAGCUCUCAAAACCCCUUGUUUGUAUUUUUGAACUCAUACUUGGAUCUAAAGCGGAAUCAUUGUUGCUACGUAAACACGGACACAUCGCAUUUAUUUGCUUGAUCUAUGGAAAAAUCACCUGCGCCCACGUUGACGAUGGUACCUGUACCGAAGUGCUUUUUGCGUUUAUUGAUGAGUCCGCAAGCUCUUAGCUGAUUUCCUCCUUAAGAUACCGCCUGUCGACAAUUUGACAGCCUCACACAAUUAAAGAAACUAUGCCAAAAAGCCAAAGCGAGCUCUUCCGAGCAGAAAAGUAGCGGCGUAUCCAUUUAAUUGAAAAUAGGCACAAGAUAACGCACUAUUGGCGUCGUUGUCUCAAUGGAGAAAUUUUGCUGUGGAACUUAUAACCGAAAUACCAUUGCAGCUGUUCAAAAAAAGAAAAGUGUAUUAUCAUACAGAUGUUGACUAUCUAACAAUCCAGAGAUACGUCAACUUGCCAAAUUUCUAGAUGUGUGUGCAGCGCAAUCAGCAUCCUUGUUGAGUGUUAACCCAAAUCAUGUAUUUUCCUAGAAAUAUCUAUGUUUUUGGAUUAAUAAAUAAAAGACAGUGAAAAAAUC